rnacentral:rRNA from 1 species
UACGGGGGGGGCAAGCGUUGUUCGGAAUUACUGGGCGUAAAGGGCGCGUAGGCGGCCUGCUAAGUCGAACGUGAAAUCCCCGGGCUCAACCCGGGAACUGCGUCCGAUACUGGCAGGCUUGAAUCCGGGAGAGGGAUGUGGAAUUCCAGGUGUAGCGGUGAAAUGCGUAGAUAUCUGGAGGAACACCGGUGGCGAAGGCGGCAUCCUGGACCGGUAUUGACGCUGAUGCGCGAAAGCCAGGGGAGCAAACGGG